rnacentral:snoRNA from 1 species
GUCGACAAUACUUCAGAGAAUNCAUUUCUAUAGUAUUCGACCUUCUCUAGGUUCCCUAAAGGAGCCACAGAUCCCACCCUGGUUGAUGAGACAUAUCCUCGACACCCUAGAGUGAAGACUUUGGGUUGCCCUCGAACCUUCCGCAAGGAAGGCGGCUUGGAUCUAAGGGUCCUUGUUUGUAUAGAGGGCGUGUGAUGAUCUCGUCCCUGCUCGCGGUCUUGCCCUUGGGCGCGCGGACAGGGCGGGUGUCGAUGGACGUCUGACAGGC